rnacentral:rRNA from 1 species
AGAGUUUGAUCCUGGCUCAGAGCGAACGCUUGCGGCGAGCCUAACACAUGCAAGUCGAGCGCCUGUAGCAAUACAGGAGCGGCGGACGGGUGAGUAACACGUAGGUCAUCUGCCUCUCGGUGGGGGAUAACCAGGGGAAACUCUGGCUAACACCGCAUGAGGUCCACGGAUCAAAGCAGCAAUGCGCCGGGAGAUGAGCCUGCGUCCGAUUAUCUAAUCCUAGUUGGCGGGGUAAUGGCCCACCAAGGGUACGAUCGGUAGCUGGUCUGAGAGGACGAUCAGCCACACUGGAACUGAGACACGGUCCAGACUCCUGCGGGAGGCAGCAGUGGGGAAUAUUGCGCAAUGGGGGAAACCCUGACGCAGCUACGCCGCGUGGGUGAUGAAGGCCAUCGGGUUGUAAAGCCCUGUCCGUGGGGACGAAUACUGACGGUACCCACGAAGAAAGCACCGGCUAACCCUGUGCCAGCAGCCGCGGUAAUACAGGGGGUGCAAGCGCUGCUCGGAAUCACUGGGCGUAAAGCGUGCGCAGGCGGAACGUUAAGUCGGGCGUGAAAUCCCGGGGCUCAACCC